GUUGGAAAUCAGCUGGAUCCUCACAGCAUCAACUGGUUGGGCUCUUCCUGCAACUCAGUACAGAGAAUGAGACAGCGCUGCAAUUAAAAGGCAAUGCUGUGUUCCUCUUUGGGAUGCUGCGAGCACAGAUGUGUGACUUGAGAGCUGCAGAACUUGGAUCUGAUACAGCUGGAUUCUCUCUGAUGAGAAAUCACUGGCAAUAAAUCUCUGUGUUGCAUGUUAGCAGAAGACAGGGUGUUUCUUCAGCACCUCCAGUACUGACAGGUGAGAAAAUAGGUGGCACGGGGACCAAGAACUUGGAAAGGCCUCAGCAGGACAGGGGGAGAAAAUACGCUGAAAAUGAUAAUGACAGGGAGCUCAUUUGCCAAGUGCCAUCACUGAUAAAUCAGGCUUGGCUAGGGGAACAUUAAGGUAAAGGGGAGUUGUAAGAAAGCAGGGGACUGACUCUGUAGCAGAGUCUGUUUUGGUAAGACAAGGAGAAAUGGUUUCAAACUAAAAGGGGA
rnacentral:lncRNA from 1 species